rnacentral:rRNA from 1 species
UACGAACGGUCCAAGCGUUAAUCGGAAUUACUGGGCGUAAAGCGUGCGCAGGCGGUUGUGCAAGACCGAUGUGAAAUCCCCGGGCUUAACCUGGGAAUGGCAUUGGUGACUGCACGGCUAGAGUGUGUCAGAGGGGGGUAGAAUUCCACGUGUAGCAGUGAAAUGCGUAGAGAUGUGGAGGAAUACCGAUGGCGAAGGCAGCCCCCUGGGAUAACACUGACGCUCAUGCACGAAAGCGUGGGGAGCAAACAGG